UUUGGCGGCACAAAAAUGACACAAAACAUUACAUUACCAUAACGCUGCAUGAAGUCAUGAAGUAAGCCAUGGCAUGUCUAACAUGAUAGGGUGAAAAAAAGUUCUCCUCCCAUCCUGUGUGGAAGUGGUAAGUUUUUGGCUUCUUAAGUUUACAAGAAAUAAAAUUGAGGCUAACUGGUUAGCUCACUAGCUUGCUGGCUAGCUGCCAUGUCAGGUCCCUGCAGCAUAAGAGUUGCAAUGUGAUGCAAACAAUGAAUAAUAGGAGUGUAAAGAUGACUAUAUGGGUGUUAUUUCAUGUCUACAGGGCUCUAAUAAUGUUAAAAAAACACGUAUUUAGAAAGUCCAAGAUUUCAUUUAUUUACACUGAAUCCUAUAUAGUGGAAAUUCAUAUAACGCGGUCAGGUCUGGAGCUAAUUAGCCGCUAUGAACGAGGGAAGACUGUAUGUUCCAUCGCACAGUGUGUACUAAGUAAAGGCUGGAAGUAGUUUGUAAAUGCAGACCAUUUAGAAGAUAGUCGCUGAAGGUAUGGGUAACAAUUAGGGGUGCUCCGAUAUAUCGGCCACCGAUCUGUUUCGGCCGAUUUUCAUAAAAAAACGUGUGAUCAGCAUAUGCUGAUUUAAUGCCUUUGAUUAAGGCCUUUGAUUAGCCUGUGGCUAGCACUAUUGCAGGCUGCAGCCACCCUUUUGUGCAGUGUAAAGUCUCGCCCUAACUAACAUCUUGGGCAGUGUCAUCUUCUGAAGGUCCAUCAAAACUAAAACAAUCAUAUCUGCCAUGUGGAACCUAACUGCUCACACAUGCCACGGAAACUACCUCACCGGGGUAAAAAGCUCUUGUAUGGCUGUACAAAAGACUGUCUUUAGUAGUGUCUUUCUCUUUGUCCCCUUCAAAUUAACGCUUAUGUAAACGUAGCUCAACAUUACUACGCUAAAUGGGCACCUGAAUGUAUCACGGCAGCCGCUUAGCUUUGGGAGUGGUUGUCUUCACACGGACCUUGUUUGACGUUUAAGCAACAGUGUGCGCCUAUAAAUAAAACCACACACACACACACACAACACAUUCACAUACACCUACCUGCGGUAGACACAAAUCUGGCUAUGGAUACCGCCUUUGGACUGCACUCACCUGUACAGGAUUGUUGUCUUGACCCGACACCUUGGAGUGAUUGCUGACCAGUAUUACACCCAAUUAAAGCCCUCACUACAACGGCACUUGAAGAACAACACUUGAUGGAGUAUGUCAGACGGCUAAGCUAAUAACCUGAAAAAUGAUUGAAUUCGUCGAACGAGA